GAUAAGAACGUAGCGAAAUGCGAUAAGUAGUGUGAAUUGCAGAAUUCAGUGAAUCAUCGAAUCUUUGAACGCACAUUGCGCCCUUUGGUAUUCCAAAGGGCAUGCCUGUUCGAGCGUCAUUUGUACCCUCAAGCUUUGCUUGGUGUUGGGCGUCUUGUCUCUAGCUUUGCUGGAGACUCGCCUUAAAGUAAUUGGCAGCCGGCCUACUGGUUUCGGAGCGCAGCACAAGUCGCACUCUCUAUCAGCAAAGGUCUAGCAUCCACUAAGCCUUUUUUUCAACUUUUGACCUCGGAUCAGGUAGGGAUACCCGCUGAACUUAAGCAUAUCAAUAAGCGGAGA
rnacentral:misc_RNA from 1 species